AGAGUUUGAUCCUGGCUCAGAACGAACGCUGGCGGCAGGCUUAACACAUGCAAGUCGAGCGAGCAAGCCCCUUCGGGGGUGAGUAGAGCGGCGAACGGGUGAGUAACACGUGAGUAAUCUGCCCUCGGGCUCGGGAUAACAUCGCGAAAGUGGUGCUAAUACCGGAUGAGACCACGCGACUGCGGUCGAGUGGGAAAAGAAUGGGAUCUCUUCGGAGACCAUUCACCUGAGGAUGAGCUCGCGGCCCAUCAGGUCGUUGGUGAGGGUAACGGCCCACCAAGCCGAAGACGGGUAGCUGGUCUGAGAGGACGAUCAGCCACACUGGAACUGAGACACGGUCCAGACUCCUACGGGAGGCAGCAGUGGGGAAUCUUGCGCAAUGGGCGAAAGCCUGACGCAGCCAUGCCGCGUGAGUGAAGAAGGCCUGCGGGUCGUAAAACUCUGUCCAGAGGGACGAACAAGGAGCACUCGAAGAGGGUGCGCCCCUGACGGUACCUCUGAAGAAAGCACCGGCUAACUCCGUGCCAGCAGCCGCGGUAAUACGGAGGGUGCAAGCGUUGUUCGGAAUUACUGGGCGUAAAGAGUGUGUAGGCGGCGGUGCAAGUCGGGUGUGAAAGCCCCGGGCUCAACCCGGGAAAUGCGCUCGAAACUGCACGGCUAGAA
rnacentral:rRNA from 1 species